rnacentral:rRNA from 1 species
UUAAUUGAAGAGUUUGAUCAUGGCUCAGAUUGAACGCUGGCGGCAGGCCUAACACAUGCAAGUCGAGCGGCAGCACAGAGGAACUUGUUCCUUGGGUGGCGAGCGGCGGACGGGUGAGUAAUGCCUGGGAAAUUGCCCGGUAGAGGGGGAUAACCAUUGGAAACGAUGGCUAAUACCGCAU